rnacentral:rRNA from 1 species
UACGAAGGGGGCGAGCGUUGUUCGGAUUUACUGGGCGUAAAGGGCGCGCAGGCGGCUCAUUUUGUCAGGCGUGAAAGCCCCGGGCUUAACCUGGGAACGGCCGUUGAAACUGGCGAACUGGAGUGUGGCAGAGGGGGUGGAAGUUCCGCGUGUAGCAGUGAAAUGCGUAGAGAUGCGGAGGAACACCGAUGGCGAAGGCAGCCCCCUGGGCUAACACUGACGCUCAGGCACGAAAGCGUGGGGGAGCAAACAGG